AUCCUUUUACAGUUCAUAAGCGUGAAGAUUGGGUAUUCACGCUGUUGUGUAACAUGUGCUUCCCUCAAACCUUGUUGACCUCAGCACAUUACCCAUCUGAUG